rnacentral:rRNA from 1 species
GACGAACGCUGGCGGCGUGCCUAAUACAUGCAAGUAGAACGCUGAAGGAGGAGCUUGCUUCUCUGGAUGAGUUGCGAACGGGUGAGUAACGCGUUGGUAACCUGCCUGGUAGCGGGGGAUAACUAUUGGAAACGAUAGCUAAUACCGCAUAAGAGUAGAUGUUGCAUGACAUUUGCUUAAAAGGUGCAAUUGCAUCACUACCAGAUGGACCUGCGUUGUAUUAGCUAGUUGGUGGGGUAACGGCUCACCAAGGCGACGAUACAUAGCCGACCUGAGAGGGUGAUCGGCCACACUGGGACUGAGACACGGCCCAGACUCCUACGGGAGGCAGCAGUAGGGAAUCUUCGGCAAUGGACGGAAGUCUGACCGAGCAACGCCGCGUGAGUGAAGAAGGUUUUCGGAUCGUAAAGCUCUGUUGUAAGAGAAGAACGAGUGUGAGAGUGGAAAGUUCACACUGUGACGGUAUCUUACCAGAAAGGGACGGCUAACUACGUG